rnacentral:rRNA from 1 species
GAUGAACGCUGGCGGCGUGCUUAACACAUGCAAGUCGAACGGGAAUUAUUUUAUUGAAACUUCGGUCGAUUUAAUUUAAUUCUAGUGGCGGACGGGUGAGUAACGCGUGGGUAACCUGCCUUAUACAGGGGGAUAACAGUCAGAAAUGACUGCUAAUACCGCAUAAGCGCACAGAGCUGCAUGGCUCAGUGUGAAAAACUCCGGUGGUAUAAGAUGGACCCGCGUUGGAUUAGCUUGUUGGUGAGGUAACGGCCCACCAAGGCGACGAUCCAUAGCCGGCCUGAGAGGGUGAACGGCCACAUUGGGACUGAGACACGGCCCAGACUCCUACGGGAGGCAGCAGUGGGGAAUAUUGCACAAUGGGGGAAACCCUGAUGCAGCGACGCCGCGUGAAGGAAGAAGUAUCUCGGUAUGUAAACUUCUAUCAGCAGGGAAGAUAGUGACG